rnacentral:rRNA from 1 species
UACGGAGGGUGCAAACGUUGGCUCGGAAUCAUUGGGCGUAAAGCGCGACGUAGGUGGUUUGUUAAGUCGGAUGUUGAAAGCCCCGGGCUCAACUCGGGAAGUGCAAUUCCGGAAACUGGGCAAGGCUUGAGUAUGGAAGAGGGUCGCGGAAUUCCCGGUGUAGAGGUGGAAAUUCGUAGAUAUCGGGAGGAACACCAGUGGCGAAGGCG